rnacentral:rRNA from 1 species
UACGAAGGGGGCUAGCGUUGUUCGGAAUCACUGGGCGUAAAGGGCGCGUAGGCGGCUUUAUAAGUCGGGGGUGAAAGCCCCGGGCUCAACCUGGGAAUUGCAUUCGAGACUGAAUAGCUAGGGUACGGUAGAGGGAAGUGGAAUUUCCGGUGUAGCGGUGAAAUGCGUAGAUAUUGACAGGAACACCAGUGGCGCAAGCGGCUAUCUGGACCAACAUCGACGCUGAGGCACGAAAGCGUGGGGAUCAAACAGG